rnacentral:antisense_RNA from 1 species
UUAGUUAAAGACCGUUCCAUUCCGGCUAGAGGCAUUAGUUUCAUGCUAGGAAGUGUAAAAAACCGACCUCACCCGUCGGUUUUUUUAC